rnacentral:rRNA from 1 species
UACGUAGGGUGCAAGCGUUAAUCGGAAUUACUGGGCGUAAAGCGUGCGCAGGCGGUUUUGUAAGUCUGUCGUGAAAGCCCCGGGCUCAACCUGGGAAUUGCAUUUGUGACUGCACGGCUAGAGUGUGUCAGAGGGGGGGUAGAAUUCCACGUGUAGCAGUGAAAUGCGUAGAGAUGUGGAGGAAUACCGAUGGCGAAGGCAGCCCCCUGGGAUAACACUGACGCUCAUGCACGAAAGCGUGGGGAGCAAACAGG